UAGAUCAAGGAAAGUGGCAGGAUGAGCCAUGAGGUGAUUCAAGAAGAAGCAAGUAGGACUAAAGUCUCAACAUAUACAGCAAGGACAGAAAUAGCCUCAGAGUUAAAAUUAAAAAUAAUAAUCGUGAUCAUAAUACUCAUCAGAACCCAACUUGGCAAAUUAAACACUGCCUCUUCCCAAACCCUAUACACUAGUGGUCUCCAACCUUUUUAAGUAGGAGAUCACCUUUGGCAUUUAAAAGCAACCCAAGAUCUACUGUGCACCAUCGCCAACCCCCUGCCCAGCAGGGUCUUAUUCAAUCAAAGAAGAUGCCAACGAGUGUACAUGCUGGUCAUCUUCAUAAAAGGUGCCAGGAGAAAGAUUUAUAGAUUCUAGGGUCGGAAGGGACCUUGGUGGGCCAUCUAGCCCGAUCUCCUGCCCCUGGCAGGCAAGAAAAGGGUCACCAAACCUGGGGUCAUGUGAUCCCAACCAGGUGCCUGUCCAGCCUCCUCUAGAAGACCCCCAAGGAUGGGGCGAGCACCACCUCUCUUGGAAGCCCAUUGCAGAUCCUGGCAACCCUGACUGUGAAGAACUUUUUCUGAUGUCCAGUCUAAAGUCAUCAACACAGGAGAGCAAACCUAGUUUUCUGAUUCUGUCCAGUAUGACGCAGUAGCUAGCUUACUAGCUUACUAUCGGAGAACUGCAGAGUUAAUCCA